GGAGAGAUGGGUGAGUGGUUUAAACCGGCAGUCUUGAAAACUGUUGAAGUGAAAGCUUCCGGGGGUUCGAAUCCCUCUCUCUCCG
rnacentral:tRNA from 2 species